rnacentral:rRNA from 1 species
GAUGAACGCUGGCGGCGUGCUUAACACAUGCAAGUCGAACGAUGAAGCCGGAGCUUGCUCUGGUGAAUUAGUGGCGAACGGGUGAGUAACACGUGAGUAACCUGCCCUUGACUCUGGGAUAACUGCGGGAAACUGUAGCUAAUACCGGGUACGACCCUCGGAGGCAUCUCCUGGGGGUGGAAAGAAUUUCGGUCAAGGAUGGACUCGCGGCCUAUCAGCUAGUUGGUGAGGUAAGGGCUCACCAAGGCGACGACGGGUAGCCGGCCUGAGAGGGUGACCGGCCACACUGGGACUGAGACACGGCCCAGACUCCUACGGGAGGCAGCAGUGGGGAAUAUUGCACAAUGGGCGCAAGCCUGAUGCAGCAACGCCGCGUGAGGGAUGACGGCCUUCGGGUUGUAAACCUCUUUUAGUAGGGAAGAAGCGAAAGUGACGGUACCUGCAGAAAAAGCACCGGCUAACUACGUGCCAGCCGCCGCCGUAA